rnacentral:lncRNA from 1 species
CCAAUUCUUAUCAAAAUUCUGCUCCAAUUCCAGCUCCAAGUCGUUCCAUAAAUCCAACUCCGAGAAGAUCAAAUGGAAUCAGCAAAACUCCAUCAUACCUGCAGGACUAUCAUAGUAAUCUGCUGACAAACGCUCCAACACUAUUUCAUCAUCACUCUCAGUACCCCUUACGCAAAUACCUCUCCUAUAAAAAAUUUGCCCCUUCACAUUACACCUACAUUUUCAACAUCUCUUCCAGUUAUGAACCACGAU